AAACCAGCACCUCAAGUGGUCAGGAGGAUUAUUGGGCCUAAAGCAUCCGUAGCCUGUUCUGUAAGUUUUCGGUUAAAUCCAUUAGCUCAACUAAUGGGCUGCCGAAAAUACUGUAGAACUAGGGAGUGGGAGAGGUAGACGGUAUUCGGUAGGAAGGGGUAAAAUCCUUUGAUCUAUUGAGGACCACCUGUGGCGAAGGCGGUCUACCAGAACACGUUCGACGGUGAGGGAUGAAAGCUGGGGGAGCAAACAGGAUUAGAUACCCUAGUAGUCC
rnacentral:rRNA from 1 species